GUAUUUUGACCGUGCAAAGGUAGCGCAAUCACUUGUCUUUUAAAUGAAGACCUGUAUGAAUGGUGGAACGAGGGCUUAACUGUUCUCCCCCCCUUCUAGUCAAUGAAAUUGAUCUACCCGUGCAGAAGCGGAUAUAACAAUACAAGACGAGAAGACCCUUUGGAGCUUAAGAUAAAAAACCAACUAUGUCAAAAGUCCUAAAAAAGACUAAACCAAAUAGUACUGGUCCUAAUCUUCGGUUGGGGCGACCACGGGAGAAAACAAAGCUCCCAUGCGGAUUGGGGUAAAUCCCUAAAACUGAGAGAGACAUCUCUAAGGCGCAGAAUAUCUGACCAUAAAGAUCCGGCUACAUGCCGACCAACGGACCAAGUUACCCUAGGGAUAACAGCGCAAUCCCCUUCCAGAGUCCAUAUCGACAAGGGGGUUUACGACCUCGAUGUUGGAUCAGGACAUCCU
rnacentral:rRNA from 1 species